rnacentral:lncRNA from 1 species
AUUAACUCCCUGCAUAGGGCACUUCCCACCCCCAACGGGAGCUGAGCAAGUCUGGAUCGAGGAAUCCGCGUCUGGAGGGAAGCCUCAAGGGCACUUUUGGAUUGACAGGUGGUGUAGGGGCACGGGGACAAACAAACAACAAACAUAGAAAUAACCCCCACUCCCCAAAUCUCUAAGGGAUGCAAGAGAAGAUAUCAAGUGUUUGGAAAACUGAAAUAAGUAAAAAAAAAAAUCACCAGUUCUCUGCACAGCCUUUUUCUGAGGCUUAGGGUGGGUGAUCAGACCUCAAAUCUGGGGCCUUUGUUUGGAGAACAAGCAAAGCAGAGUUCGUGAAAAGAGAAGAUAUUUGGGGGUCACGGGUGAUCUGCCCUCCAAGGAUGUCGGCUCAUAAGGUGUGGGGAGGAAGCACCACCCACACCCCUCAAAGAAGGGGCUGGUUGCCUUGGAAACUCCCUUUCUCCAGCUUUAUCACGUUUCAGGAUCCACAACCAGAAUUAUCUCCACGCUUGGCCCCAGACAGAACGGCUACAUCUGCUUUUUCGGGAAUAUUCUCUUUCUACUUCCUAUCUUCCCCAUAUUUAGGGGUGUUCCCAGGGACAAGAGGGGUCCUAACUGCUGUAGUUGUGCUGUAAUUUUUACAACCACCAUUAUCAUUAGGAAGAGGAGGAGGAGGAGGACUUCCAGGCUGCACGUUCUUGCUGGAGCCAGGGCUAGUCACAGAUGAGCAUCCUCACCAAUAAAACUGGGUUUGUUGUUCUGAUGACGCUAGUAUUUACCAGAACGCUCUGACACAUCCCCACCGAACUUGCGAAUCGCCGCGUUUAACAGCCUGAAAAUCUGGCCUGCUUUUUCCCGGGAACUGCGGAGGUUGUCUCUGUGACUUUGAUUAUUUGCAUUGAUGACCCUGGGGCAAGAUUCUUGGACCAACCCUGGAGUCCGGCCCCGAUCGAGUGGAGGCAUCCGCCCUAGAGAGACCCCAAAGGCACUCCAGAGGAGCAGAGAAAAAGCUAGGAGCUGAAAUGAGCCUGGGGAACCGUCCCACUUCCCAGCGUCAAGGACCACGCAGGACCCCACCCAAGGGUCCCAUCCUCCAGAAGGAGCCAGCCCAGAGAUGCAUGUGGAACCUUUAGAAAUGGCUCCGGUUUUCCCUGGUGCUGGUAAGGCAUCUGCUGGGGACUGGCAGAUACACAGCCAGGGCGGGUCAGCCAAUGCCUACACAAGCUGAAUUUACAGAGCACCUCCUGGGAAGCCCAGCAAGAAGGACUCGUGGGCAAAACACCCGGGUUUAACAGAGUGGCUCUGCAUUUGCCUGGGAAUGCCUUCCGAGCGCUCCAAGCAGGCUGCACAGAGAGUGAAUGAUUCUUUUUCCUCUCCACCCACGUGCUGAGAGCUGCAUUUACCCAUCAGUGUGGACCCCUGAGAUCCUCUUCCCAUCCCAGAUCCUGGGGACUUCAGUGCUUCAGCCCCAAGGCCUCAAAGGAGCAGAUUUCUCGUUUGGACCUUCAUAAACCAUCCUCCCCCGCCCCCUUGACCAAAUUCAUUCCCUCCCAGUCCCCUCCUUUCCCUGAAAUCGGCGACCAUGCGCCUAUCUGUUGCUCCUCUUUGAAGCUACAACCUUCCAGGACAGGGAACUCCUUUUGUAAUUAGAGAGACCUAGCCGCAAAUCUCUGCUCCCAAAUACAAGCUGUAGGACCUUGACAAGUCACCCCCGUCCCCUGGACUCUCCUGUGCAAAAGCUAUGCCUCCCGUCCGCCCCCUAGGCUGCCGUGAGAAUCAAAUGCCCAAGACGAAUGUACCCACUUGUAUGGCAGAAUCAUCCAGCUAAAAGUUCUAAACGUGAAUACAGAAUCCGUGUUCUGUUCUAGUAAUUAAUUAUCUUCUACGAUGAGAUUUGGGGACAUUUUUUCAAAAAUCAGUGUUUUGUGUUUUGUUUUUCUUUGGGGAAGAGGGGUG